rnacentral:piRNA from 1 species
UUGAAGUUUGACAGCUCUCUGGGUCCGUGU